rnacentral:rRNA from 1 species
GAUGAACGCUGGCGGCGUGCCUAAUACAUGCAAGUCGAGCGAACGGACGAGAAGCUUGCUUCUCUGAUGUUAGCGGCGGACGGGUGAGUAACACGUGGAUAACCUACCUAUAAGACUGGGAUAACUUCGGGAAACCGGAGCUAAUACCGGAUAAUAUUUUGAACCGCAUGGUUCAAAAGUGAAAGACGGUCUUGCUGUCACUUAUAGAUGGAUCCGCGCUGCAUUAGCUAGUUGGUAAGGUAACGGCUUACCAAGGCAACGAUGCAUAGCCUACCUGAGAGGGUGAUCGGCCAAUGUGGACCUGAGACGAGGUCCAGACUCCCACGGGAGGCAGGAGUAGGGAAACUUGCGCAAUGGGCGAAAGCCUGACGGAGCAACGCCGCGUGAGUGAUGAAGGUCUUCGGAUCGUAAAACUCUGUUAUUAGGGAAGAACAUAUGUGUAAGUAACUGUGCACAUCUUGGCGGUACCUAAUCAGAAAGCCACGGCUAACUACGUG